rnacentral:rRNA from 1 species
AUUGAACGCUGGCGGCAGGCUUACACAUGCAAGUCGAACGGCAGCGGGGGAGAAGCUUGCUUUUCCUGCCGGCGAGUGGCGAACGGGUGAGUAAUACAUCGGAACGUGCCCUGUAGUGGGGGAUAACUAGUCGAAAGAUUAGCUAAUACCGCAUACGACCUGAGGGUGAAAGUGGGGGACCGCAAGGCCUCAUGCUAUAGGAGCGGCCGAUGUCUGAUUAGCUAGUUGGUGGGGUAAAGGCCUACCAAGGCGACGAUCAGUAGCUGGUCUGAGAGGACGAUCAGCCACACUGGGACUGAGACACGGCCCAGACUCCUACGGGAGGCAGCAGUGGGGAAUUUUGGACAAUGGGCGAAAGCCUGAUCCAGCAAUGCCGCGUGUGUGAAGAAGGCCUUCGGGUUGUAAAGCACUUUUGUCCGGAAAGAAAUGGCUCUGGUUAAUACCUGGGGUCGAUGACGGUACCGGAAGAAUAAGGACCGGCUAACUACGUGCCAGCCGCCGCGGUAA